CCAGCGAUAGCUCAGUUGGUAGAGCGGGGCACUGUAGAGUUGAACGAAGCCAUGCUCAGGUCGGCGGAUCAAUCCCGUCUCGCUGGA